UGGCGAUUGAGUGUUCAUAGAUUCUUGAAUAAUGAGUUCCCUUUUCUCUCUUCAUAUAUAUACUUAUCAAAAAAAAAAAAAGAUUCUUGAAUAAUGAGGUAGUUGUUGUAUUCUUGAUGAUAAUGGUUUCUAAUGUCAUUUGUCUUGUGUGUUUUAACAAUGUUUGCUAGCAAUUUUUGAGGUGAUUUUCUUGCUUUUGAAAGUAAAAAUUGCAUUUAUUUUAGCUUUGUAAAACAAAUAUGGAUACUUCCAUAACUAUUACCUAACCAAAUUGUCCAUUACUGUUUUUUAUUAAUUUAAUUGGUAAGAACAAGCUGCAUAACAAAUAUUAUAUCAAGAUCAUUAGGUUUUUAUUGCUAUUCUUAUAAUUCUGCAUGCUUACAGAGAGUGCCCAUGUAUAAGAUAUCAAGGCAACAACUUGAUUUUCAGUAAUUCCAUUGGUACACAUUAAUCAUUAGGAAAUGCACUUUGUGCUGCUCAAUAAAUUUAGCAUGAUGUGUUUCUUGUCUAAGUCUCAAUGGCCUUUUUUCAGUGCUGUUAGUAACGGGGCAGGUGAUGGUGUUGUUGGAGGAGUUUCAGUAGUUGGGGAAGUUUGUGAGAAGUCUUAAUGGUUUCAUAGUCUUGGUGUGGGGUGGAGGGUUUUGUUUGGGGGGAUGAGUACAUGAAGGACUUCAAACCUGUCAGUUUAGUAGGAGUCUCUAGAAACUUUUGACUCAAUGUUUGGAAAAUAGAUUGAAGAAGGUUGUUGGGAAGGUAAUCUUAGAGGCUCAAAAUAUUCUGAGAGAGGGAGAGAGUAGGCUGAUUUUAGAUGUAGUUCCGAUAAAAAAUGAAGCUAUGGACUCCAUCAAAAAGGGAUUUUGCUGACAAUCAUGGAAAAGAUUGUUUUGGUGAAAAAUGGUUGAAGUGGAUGGGAUUUUUCAUUUCCACUAUAUGCCUCUCCAUUCUGGUCAAUGGUACCUCCCCUCAUCUAUUAUUGGUGGUCAUGGAUGUUUCCAGCUGCCUUGUUUUAAGGGCAGCUCAAAGAUGUUUUAUCAGUAGUUUCAGUGUUGGGGGGUAGAGGGUAAAUGACAUCUUUUAUCUUUUGUUGUGGAAAUGUGGAUCAUAUAGUCCAUUCAAGGUGGGUGCUUCUAUGUACCGAAUUGAUUUUUGGUUUGAAAGUUAGUCUGUAGAAGAAUGAGCUUAUCCCGGUGUGCGAGGUCAUCGAUAUUGAGAGGUGGGGCUGUUGCUUUGGGUUGUAGGGUGCGGAGAGUCCCCAUGUCCUAUCUAGGCCUUUCCUUGGGAGCCCCAUUUAAAUCUCAGGCUGCUUGGAAUGUGGUGCAGGAUCGCUUAAACAGGAGAUUGGUCUGUUG